GGGGGCUGAGGGGUGUGGGGAGGAGAGCUGUGCAGGCUGACUGUGUGUGUGCUGCUGGGAGCACUGCUGACAUGGAGAGAGAGGAAGGCUCCCCGCUCGAGGUACUCGUGUGCUCACGCAGUGGUUCAGGCUGUGACCUGGCAAUUCCACUGCACCUCCCUUCCUGCACUGUCCAUGUGCCACCUGCAGGUGUUGCCCAGCUUUUGGGGGACUCGCUGUGACCUUCCUGUCUCCCCUCUGCCUCGUGCACUGGACUUCACAGCAUCCUGAUGGUGAGCAGUGGUCCUCUGGAGAUGCUGAGCAACAGUUGUGAGCUGCGCCCUUUUCCUGGACCAUCCCAAGCCCUUCUCAGCGCAGAGCCUGUCUCUCUUUCCCUGGGGUUCUGUGGAUAAGUCAGCAAGACGGGACUUUGCCAGCCAGCUGGUUUCAGCUUCACCACCCCAAUGACAGCAGGGCAGUCCUGCAGCUCAUGGCAGCCCUACGGCUCUGCUCCUUUGCCAGGCCGGAGAGCUGAAUCAGCUCCAAUUCUGCAGAUCCUUCCCUGAGUCCUGCUGCCGAGCACCGAUACUUGUGCAUCCUCUGGGCCACAUCAGGACUGGAAAGAGGAGUAGAUAUCAGGCGGAAGGAUCUGGCCUUCUGCUGGUGACAGCCACCUGCAUGGCCUGUUCCUGCUUUCUCUUUUCCCCAGGUGGCAUUGUGCUUCCCAAGCAGUGCGUGGACCUUUCUGAUGGCAGUGAGCAGCAAGGAACCGACUGGGUCUCAGCUUCCUUCCUGCCCUGCGCCUGACUGAGGGACCCUGCGACCAGCUCAGGAGAUUCCUCAGGAGUGGUCCUGGGUCAUCUGGCUUCCACCAAGAGUGCUCCUCUUCUCUCCACAGAUCACAUCCCAGGUGCUGUCUGUCUGUCUGUCUGUGGUGGGUUCCAGAGCAAGGAGGCCUCUCCAUGCCAUCACUGCACAUUGAUUUCAGCCUGUGGCACCCACACUGGGACACAUGGAUGCUCCAGGAAACAGCUGUGAACCCUGGGGCUGGAAUAAAGACGCCAAAAACAAUGCAGAAAAGAAAA